rnacentral:rRNA from 1 species
ACGAACGCUGGCGGCGUGCUUAACACAUGCAAGUCGAACGGAAAGGCCCUGCUUUUGUGGGGUGCUCGAGUGGCGAACGGGUGAGUAACACGUGAGUAACCUGCCCUUGACUUUGGGAUAACUUCAGGAAACUGGGGCUAAUACCGGAUAGGAGCUCCUGCUGCAUGGUGGGGGUUGGAAAGUUUCGGCGGUUGGGGAUGGACUCGCGGCUUAUCAGCUUGUUGGUGGGGUAGUGGCUUACCAAGGCUUUGACGGGUAGCCGGCCUGAGAGGGUGACCGGCCACAUUGGGACUGAGAUACGGCCCAGACUCCUACGGGAGGCAGCAGUGGGGAAUAUUGCACAAUGGGCGGAAGCCUGAUGCAGCAACGCCGCGUGCGGGAUGACGGCCUUCGGGUUGUAAACCGCUUUCGCUUGUGACGAAGCGUGAGUGACGGUAAUGGGUAAAGAAGCACCGGCUAACUACAUG